GUCCCUUCGAAGACAUCUGAUUAAAUUGUAACGAUAUAAAAAAGAUUAGCAUGAUCCUUGCGCAAGGAUGACAUACAUAAAAUAAACCCAUCUCUCCUAUUA